GAGCGUUAUUGGUCUGGUCCUUGGUUAUGUCACAAGCCUCAUUGUUGAUCUUGCCAUCUUGAUCGAGGUUCGUUUAGAGUCUCACUGCUGGAGUUAUCAUAUUUUUAUACAAGAGUGCUUAAACUUUUAGUUAAACAUCUGUUUGAAUGCAAUCAUCGGUCAAAUAGUUAAAUGUUCAAUUUCCAAAAUGCAAAUGCAGGGAAAGGAGGAAACCGUAUCAUUGGAGGGUUGAAAUCUGAUCACAUUUCCUUUCGUAAACUCAUUGAUAUUAGAGAACAAACAAUGCCAACCCUUUCGCCAAAUCGAGACCAAAAAAGAAAAGACAAUUGAACAAUAAAAGAUUUCUUCUUUUGUUUGAGAGAUGUUCUUUACCUAUAUAAUUUAAAGCAUCAACAAAGGAUAUGUACUUUUGUUGCCACAAAACAUUUAAAGAAGCAUAUGCAUAUGUAAACAACCAGAAAUGAGAAUUAUUGAUUUUCUU
rnacentral:lncRNA from 1 species